rnacentral:rRNA from 1 species
CAGUAGCCGCGGGAAUACGAAGGGUGCAAGCGUUACUCGGAAUUACUGGGCGUAAAGCGUGCGUAGGUGGUGGUUUAAGUCCGUUGUGAAAGCCCUGGGCUCAACCUGGGAAUUGCAGUGGAUACUGGGUCACUAGAGUGUGGUAGAGGAUAGUGGAAUUUCCGGUGUAGCAGUGAAAUGCGUAGAGAUCGGAAGGAACAUCUGUGGCGAAGGCGACUAUCUGGGCCAACACUGACACUGAGGCACGAAAGCGUGGGGAGCAAACAGGAUUAGAUACCCGGGUAGUCCCUGUCUCUUAUAA